rnacentral:lncRNA from 1 species
GGAAGCCAAGCAGACAAACGAACUACUAAAUGAGGUCCCUUUUCAUGUUUUAAUCAAAGGGUCAAAAGCAGGUGAAAGAGGUAGGGGGUAAAAACAUGAUUCUCAUACAUUACGCAAUGAAGAUGGAUCAUAUUGAAGAUGAAUCUCAAGGAAGACCAAAGAUGCAGUAUAUGAACAGGGUAAGAUCUAGUCUAUCCAUAACUUAGAAAAGCAACAAGCAACAAGCAAUGGCCGUAUAUCUAAUGUUCACACCCAAUCAGCAAAAUAAAUAUUCAAAACCAUCAAAGAAUCCUCAAGAAUAGAAUAAGAUGAAGCAUAGGAAAUAGCUGAAAACGCACCUGGGCAGUCUUAGCUGCAAUGGCUCGGCUUCUGGCUAUCUUUCUUCUUCCCUCCGAAGACAAUUCCCAGAUAAAAAAUCCUCUUUUGCUUGUUCUUUCUUCCUCCUCCUCCCUUUCUCUAAAAAAAAUCCUCUGAUGCAUGCCCCAU